rnacentral:rRNA from 1 species
AAACUCAAAGGAAUUGACGGGGACCCGCACAAGCGGCGGAGCAUGCGGAUUAAUUCGAUGCAACGCGAAGAACCUUACCAAGGCUUGACAUACACGAGAACGCCCUAGAAAUAGGGAACUCUUUGGACACUCGUGAACAGGUGGUGCAUGGUUGUCGUCAGCUCGUGUCGUGAGAUGUUGGGUUAAGUCCCGCAACGAGCGCAACCCUCGUUCUAUGUUGCCAGCACGUAAUGGUGGGAACUCAUGGGAUACUGCCGGGGUCAACUCGGAGGAAGGUGGGGAUGACGUCAAAUCAUCAUGCCCCUUAUGUCUUGGGCUUCACGCAUGCUACAAUGGCCGGUACAAAGGGCUGCAAUACCGUAAGGUGGAGCGAAUCCCAAAAGCCGGUCCCAGUUCGGAUUGAGGUCUGCAACUCGACCUCAUGAAGUCGGAGUCGCUAGUAAUCGCAGAUCAGCAACGCUGCGGUGAAUACGUUCCCGGGUCUUGUACACACCGCCCGUCAAGUCAUGAAAGUCGGUAACACCUGAAGCCGGUGGCCCAACCCUUGUGGAGGGAGCCGUCGAAGGUGGGAUCGGUAAUUAGGACUAAGUCGUAACAAGGUAGCCGUACCGGAAGGUGCGGCUGGAUCACCUCCUUUAUG